UACGUAGGAGGCAAGCGUUGUCCGGAAUACUGGGCGUAAAGCGCGUGUAGGUGGUGGGACAAGUCUGCUGUGAAAACGCCUGGCUUAACCGGCGAGGUCGGCGGAAACUGUCGCACUCGAGGACGGUAGAGGGGGGUGGAAUUCCCGGUGUAGUGGUGAAAUGCGUAGAGAUCGGGAGGAACACCUGUGGCGAAGGCGGCCCCCUGGGCCGGCCCUGACACUGAGACGCGAAGGCGUGGGGAGCGAACGGG
rnacentral:rRNA from 1 species